UGCCCGGUGCGCAGGCAACGGCUACUUCGAUUUUUAAUCGAGAGGUCGCAGGUUCGAGUCCUGCCCGGCCGAC
rnacentral:tRNA from 1 species